GAUGAAGAACGUAGCGAAAUGCGAUAAGUAAUGUGAAUUGCAGAAUUCAGUGAAUCAUCGAAUCUUUGAACGCACAUUGCGCCCGCCAGUAUUCUGGCGGGCAUGCCUGUUCGAGCGUCAUUUCAACCAUCAAGCCCCCGGCUUGUGUUGGGGACCUGCGGCGGCCGCAGGCCCUGAAAAGCAGUGGCGGGCUCGCUGUCACACCGAGCGUAGUAGCAUACAUCUCGCUCUGGGCGUGCUGCGGGUUCCGGCCGUUAAACCACCUUAAUAACCCAAGGUUGACCUCGGAUCAGGUAGGAAGACCCGCUGAACUUAAGCAUAUCAAUAAGCGGAGGA
rnacentral:misc_RNA from 1 species